rnacentral:rRNA from 1 species
GAUGAACGCUGGCGGCGUGCCUAAUACAUGCAAGUCGAACGCAUAGCGAAAGGUGCUUGCACCUUUCAAGUGAGUGGCGAACGGGUGAGUAACACGUGGACAACCUGCCUCAAGGCUGGGGAUAACAUUUGGAAACAGAUGCUAAUACCGAAUAAAACUUAGUGUCGCAUGACACAAAGUUAAAAGGCGCUUCGGCGUCACCUAGAGAUGGAUCCGCGGUGCAUUAGUUAGUUGGUGGGGUAAAGGCCUACCAAGACAAUGAUGCAUAGCCGGGUUGAGAGACUGAUCGGCCACAUUGGGACUGAGACACGGCCCAAACUCCUACGGGAGGCUGCAGUAGGGAAUCUUCAACAAAGGGCGAAAGCCUGAUGGAGCAACGCCGCGUGUGUGAUGAAGGCUUUCGGGUCGUAAAGCACUGUUGUAUGGGAAGAACAGCUAGAAUAGGAAAUGAUUUUAGUUGGACGGUACCAUACCAGAAAAGGACGGCUAAAUACGU